rnacentral:lncRNA from 1 species
GGGAGGUGAGUGGCAAGGCUGCCCAUCAAUGACCCCAGGGGAUGGAGCAUGUGACCUCGGGGAGAGGGUGAGAAGGAGAAAGUGACACCUUGGGGAAGGUGUGAGCCCCAGGGUCCAAGGACUGGUGGGAAGGUCUGAAGAGAUGCUGAAUAAACUAAGAGGCAGAGAGGAAUUUUCCUAAGUUCACACAGCUGGUAAAUUGGUAGAACCAGGAUAUGAACCCAGGAAGUCUGGCUCCAGCACCUGUUACUCUUAGCCACUGUGCUAACUUAUCAGUACACCAUCUUUUUUUUUUCAGCACACCAUCUUGUAUGUCUGUAAAAGAUACCUGAUAAUACUAUUUGCUUCCAG